GAUGAACGCUAGCGGCAGGCUUAAUACAUGCAAGUCGAACGGUAAGGUCUCUUCGGAGAUACACGAGUGGCGCACGGGUGCGUAACGCGUAUGCAACCUACCUUUAACUGGGAAAUAGCCCCGGGAAAUCGGGAUUAAUGUCCCAUAUUAUUCUUUGAAUGCAUCUUCUUAGAAUGAAAGCUCCGGCGGUUAUUGAUGGGCAUGCGUGACAUUAGCUAGUUGGUGAGGUAACGGCCCACCAAGGCUACGAUGUCUAGGGGUCCUGAGAGGGUUCACCCCCACACUGGUACUGAGACACGGACCAGACUCCUACGGGAGGCAGCAGUAAGGAAUAUUGGGCAAUGGACGCAAGUCUGACCCAGCCAUGCCGCGUGAAGGAUGAAUGUCCUAUGGAUUGUAAACUUCUUUUAUGCAGGAAAAACAUCCCGGUCGAGAACCGGGGCUGAUGGUACUGUAUGAAUAAGCAUCGGCUAACUCCGUGCCAGCCGCCGCUGUAAAAC
rnacentral:rRNA from 1 species